UNUUAAAAGUUCGGGGCUUAACCCCGUGAUGGGAUGGAAACUGCUGAUCUAGAGUAUNGGAGAGGAAAGUGGAAUUCCUAGUGUAGCGGUGAAAUGCGUAGAUAUUAGGAAGAACACCNGUGGCGAAGGCGACUUUCUGGACGAAACCUGACGCUGAGGCGCGAAAGCCAGGGGAGCGAACNGGAUUAGAUACCCCGGUAGUCUUGGCCGUAAACGAUGGGUACUAGGUGUAGGAGGUAUCGACCCCUUCUGUGCCGGAGUUAACGCAAUAAGUACCCCGCCUGGGGAGUACGACCGCAAGGUUGAAACUCAAAGGAAUUGACGGGGGCCCGCACAAGCGGUGGAGUAUGUGGUUUAAUUCGACGCAACGCGAAGAACCUUACCAGGUCUUGACAUUGAUGGACAGAACCAGAGAUGGUUCCUCUUCUUCGGAAGCCAGAAAACAGGUGGUGCACGGUUGUCGUCAGCUCGUGUCGUGAGAUGUUGGGAUAAGUCCCGCAACGAGCGCAACCCCUAUCUUAUGUUGCCAGCACUUCGGGUGGGAACUCAUGAGAGACUGCCGCAGACAAUGCGGAGGAAGGCGGGGAUGACGUCAAAUCAUCAUGCCCCUUAUGACCUGGGCUACACACGUACUACAAUGGGAGUUAAUAGACGGAAGCGAGAUCGCGAGAUGGAGCAAACCCGAGAAACACUCUCUCAGUUCGGAUCGUAGGCUGCAACUCGCCUACGUGAAGUCGGAAUCGCUAGUAAUCGCAGGUCAGCAUACUGCGGUGAAUACGUUCCCGGGCCUUGUACACACCGCCCGUCACACCACGAAAGUCGGAAGUGCCCAAAGCCGGUGGGGUAACCUUCGGGAGCCAG
rnacentral:rRNA from 1 species